GAUGAAGAACGUAGCGAAAUGCGAUAAGUAAUGUGAAUUGCAGAAUUCAGUGAAUCAUCGAAUCUUUGAACGCACCUUGCGCUCCUUGGUAUUCCGAGGAGCAUGCCUGUUUGAGUGCCAUGAAAUUCUCAACCUUUUCAGCUUUCUUUGUUGAUCAGGCUUGGAUGUGGGAGUAUGCGGGCUUCUCAGAAGUCGGCUCUCCUGAAACGCAUUAGCGGGACCUUUGUUGCCUGGCUUUGGUGUGAUAAUUAUCUACGCCAUUGUGGUCAAGCAGCUUAAAAUGAGGUUUCAGCUUCUAACCGUCUCCCCUGAGACAACUUUUUGACAAUUUGACCUCAAAUCAGGUAGGACUACCCGCUGAACUUAAGCAUAUCAAUAAGCGGAGGA
rnacentral:misc_RNA from 1 species